UGCUUUUAGGAAGUCCAUGAUUAACAUUAGUUUCCUCUUUAUAUAUUCAUCGUAGGCUUACUAUAAUUCUACUACAUGCUUAUUCUCUAUGUAAUUAUGGAUGCUUAAUUUAUUUUGAGAACUUAGCUUAGAUUAGUGUUGAAGGGUAAGUGAUACACAUGGUGUGUUCAAGCUUAUGCAAUUAAACUGGUGUGAUCAAGCUUAUACUAUAAUUAUACCAGCUUGUGAUUAACAUUGAUAUGUGAACUGCAGUUAUUUGUUUUAUAUAGGAGUCCAAUACAUUAGUUAAGAAAUCGCCAGUAUAUGCAAUGCUUCUGUGCAGCUUUACGGGUUUGUGAUAAAUUUAAGGUGUUUUUUAAAUAUGAUCAUCUAAUCUGAAUAAGAAGUAUUAAGAUUUUGAUAUAUAAAGUUCAUGGAGAUGCUUACUAAGAUAUUAUUUCAGUUAAAUUUGAUGAUGAAAAUAUCACUCUUUGAUAAAUGUGAUGGAGACUGCUUAGCUAAAUUUCAAUAUGUUAGAAUUAUUCAUGAGAAAGGCAUGCUUUUUCUAUUUUUAGCUCUGCAGAUAAUUUUCUCUACGCAGUUGGGCACCCCUCAAUCAGUCUUUUCGAGCCAAACAGAAAAAUGGGCAAUCUACAGAUUUUGGGUGUCAGUAUCUUUGUAGUAGAAAAAAGUUCUUCUAAUGGACAAAAAAUCAAUUUGCUUGCAUAAGAGAGAAAGCGCAGAGAAAAGAGAGGAAUGGGACAAGGGAGACAGUCGACCGAUUUGCUUUGUUGACAGCCAUACCAAAACCAGUGGAGAAGAAUUGUUGGAAAUAGCCAGAAGAUGGUUCAAGCCUGAAUUCAACUAUUUGUGGCCGGCUUGGUCAACGAUAGUCCACAACUUGGUUGUUAGAAGGAUAUUUGGUCUCUUCGUUUGAAUUGUUUGAGCUUUCAUUCAAGGUUGAAUGAUUAUUUUGUCAUAAAAAAAUUUAGCCUCAUUCAGUUUGUUCAAACCUUUUAAUUGAAAUUUUAAUAAUUCAAACUUUUUUUA